UACGUAGGGGGCAAGCGUUGUCCGGAUUCAUUGGGCGUAAAGCGCGUGUAGGCGGCCCGGUAAGUCCGCUGUGAAAGUCGGGGGCUCAACCCUCGGAUGCCGGUGGAUACUGUCGGGCUAGAGUACGGAAGAGGCGAGUGGAAUUCCUGGUGUAGCGGUGAAAUGCGCAGAUAUCAGGAGGAACACCAAUUGCGAAGGCAGGUCGCUGGGACGUUACUGACGCUGAGACGCGCAAGCGUGGGGAGCAAACAGG
rnacentral:rRNA from 1 species